AUUGAACGCUGGCGGAAUGCUUUACACAUGCAAGUCGAGCGGCAGCGCGGGGGCAACCCUGGCGGCGAGCGGCGAACGGGUGAGUAACAUAUCGGAACGUACCCAGUCGUGGGGGAUAACUAUCCGAAAGGAUAGCUAAUACCGCAUACGUCCUGAGGGAGAAAGCGGGGGAUCGCAAGACCUCGCGCGAAUUGGAGCGGGCCGAUAUCGGGAUUAGCUAGUUGGUGGGGUAAAGGCUCACCAAGGCGACGAUCCGUAGCGGGUCUGAGAGGACGACCCGCCACACUGGAACUGAGACACGGUCCAGACUCCUACGGGAGGCAGCAGUGGGGAAUUUUGGACAAUGGGGGCAACCCUGAUCCAGCCAUUCCGCGUGAGUGAAGAAGGCCUCGG
rnacentral:rRNA from 1 species